UACAACCCCAAAUCAGAAAAAGUUGAGACAGUAUGGAAAACACAAAUAAAAAAAGAAAGUAGUGAUUUCUAAAUGUACUUUGACUUGUAUUUCAUUGCAGACAAUACAACAGCACAUAAUUUAAUGUGUUCCUCAUGAUUUUUAUUGUUUUUCUUUUCAAAAAAACAAAAUUCCUAUUUUGGUUCUUGCAACACAUUUCAAAAAAAGUUGGAACAGUAAAGCAUUUACCACUUUGUAAUGUUGCUAUUCCUUUUCACAACACUUAAAAGACGUUUAGGGACUGAAGACACCAAGUGAUGAAGUGUUUCAGGUGCAAUUUUGUCCCAUUCUUGCUGCAAACAAGUCUUAAGGUGGGCAACAGUACGGGGUCUUCGUUGUCGCAUUUUGCGCUUCAAAAUGCGCCACACAUUCUCUAUUGGAGACAGGUCGGGACUGCAGGCAGGCCAGUCAAGUACCCCUAUCCUCUUCCUCCGCAGCCAGGACUUUGUAAAAUCUCUAUGUACUUUUCAGCAUUAAUGGUGCCAUCACAGAAGUGCAAGUUACCUUUGCCAAGGGCACUGACACAACCCCAUACCAUGACAGACCCUGGCUUUUGGACUUGUUGCUGGUAACAGUCUGGAUGAUCCUUUUCUUCUUUGGUCCGGAGCACACGGCGUCCAUUUCUCCCAAAAAAUACCUGAAAUACUGAAUAAUCUGACCACAGUACACGUUUCCACUGUGUGAUGGUCCAUCCCAGAUGCCUCCGAGCCCAGAGAAGUCGACGGCGCUUCUGGACACUGUUAACAUAGGGCUUCCUUUUGGCACAGUACAGUUUUAACUGGCAUUUGUGGAUGUAACUACGUAUUGUGGGAUCGGAGAUCACGGUUGUUCAGCUUAGGCUUGCGCCCUUGUCCUUUACGCACUGAAAUUCCUCCACAUUCCUUGAAUCUUUUAAUUAUGUUAUGCACUGUUGAAGGUGAAAUAAGCAAAUGUCUUCCUAUCUUUCUUUGAGGAACAUUGUUUUUAAACAUUUCAAUAAUUUUCUCACGUAUUUGUUGGCAAACUGGCGAUCCUCGGCCCAUCUUUGCUCCUAAAGGACUAGACCUUUCUUGGAUGCUGCUUUUGUA